rnacentral:lncRNA from 1 species
ACUCGUUCAUAGUUUGUCAAGAUUAAAACUUGGUAAAUGUUCAAAAAAGUGAAGUGGUCUAGUACUCUAUGCUGAUGCUACCAAUCAUUACUAACAAAAUUGCAGUCGCAUGUCCCCUAGGCCUGAAACAAUAGUGCACUGCUUAUGUAUGAAGGAGAAAUUAAUGGCUGCUCAUGAGGUGUGAGUCACCUUAUUCCAGACCGAUCAGUCAUAGCAUUGGCAUCAGUAGUGUCAAAUGAAUGUCCUUGUCACUCGAUUGCCCUCCGCGUUGAGCUCAAGUGUGGGCAGGAAAGCCAUGGCCAGGCCGUCAACGGCGACAGUGGCUUCAUCAUACACGAGAUGCAUCCUAGUAGUUUCCUUACUUUCGGUGGACACGAGCUGCAGUCUAAUUUUGCUUCUGAUUAAUCCAGAAGGAGAAGGAGCCAAGUGAUCUGCAGCAGUACUAGUUGAGAUCAUAUCCAGCACAUAGUAUGGUGAGAUCAACACUUAAAAUUCCAUUGUGCUGCAAUAGUCUGAAUCAUGUUACAUAAGUGUUGGGUUCACAAAGCUCUGUUACUACUAUGUGUUCUAGUCAUGUGCAGCAGUUUGACAUUCCUCAAAAUUUAGUCAUGAGGACCCUGUAAUGCAACGGAGAUUGACAACGGUAACGGAGAACCGUGGCAGCGUAAUUUUUAUAAAAUACUAGAUGAAUGCUUUUAUCCACAUGAUUUCAAACACUCAAAAUAUGUAUGUAAUUUAAACAAUACACUACUAGGCGAUCCGAGUAAAAAAAGAGCAGAUGUCACUUGUUAAUUUUCUUUCUCUUAGUAACUCAUAUAUUAGAUGAAGCAGUCCAUACUUGAUGUGUUUCAAAUAAACACGAGGAGAUUUCAAAAGUAAAUUGUUAUUAGUACACCAUAUAUAAUUGCUUAAGGGAAAACUGCCUUAAAUAAACAACAAAUUUUUUUUUUUUGAAGUGGGGACUAAAAAUGUCAGUGUGGUACAGUACAGUUACGCUUACCGGAGUGACCGGCGGCUGCACCUCUACGCCCGUCGCCGGCUUCGCAGCGAAGGCACCUUACCCCGCCUCUCCGGCUGCCCCUUCUCCUGCUCACGCGGCAGCCUGGAACAGACUGAC